GUUUGACUCAUUUGCCUUUCAAUGCCUUUUUUUUUUUUUUUUGCCUUUCCCCGUUUCCUAGGCUCCCUUGUCAGCUGACAUCGGCUGGGUCUAACGUGAGGUGGCUGAGGGCAGAGUAGAAGGUGAGAAAAUGAAAGAAAACAAGUUUUCAGAUUGGAUGAUGCUAUUUUGGAGUGUCUGGUGGGGAAUCAUCAUCAUAUCCAGGUGGCACCCAUUAUCCAAAGUGGUCAGAUUACUUUUCAACUCUGAAUAUUCACUGGAAGGACUGAUGUUGAAGCUGAAGCUCCAAUACUUUGGCCACCUGAUGCGAAGAGCUGUCUCAUUGGAAAAAGACCCUGAUGCUGGGAAAGAUUGAAGGCAGGAGAAGGUGACAACAGAGGACAAGAUGGUUGGAUGGCUUCACCGACUCAGUGGACAUAAGUCUGAGCAAGCUCUGGGAGACGGUGAAGGACAGGGAAGCCUGGCAUGCUGCAGUCCAUGGGAUCACAAAGAGUCGGGCAUGAUCAAGCAACCAAAAGCAGCAACAACUUUUGAAUUAGGCAACCAUACCCCCAGAAAACUCUGAGAGAGUUUGGCAUCAGAGAGAGAGAGUUAUUUUUAUUGUGACAGUAGAUGAACUUAGAGAGUGAAAGGGGCCAAUGGAAAAGCAAGAAAGAGUAUGGAGAGAUGCCCCUACGCACCCCCUCAUAACCCAGAGAAAAUUUUCCAAAUCACUUUUUACAUAUGCCCUGACUGUUGAUUCAUCAAAGCUGUCUUCAAUAGAUUCACAACUCAAACCACAUUGCAGUAGUUUUUUAAAUAAAGCAGAGAAUUGAAAAAGUGAAUAGAGUAUUUCUUUUAUUUUUACAAAUGGAUGUGUUCAAUACAAAACACUGUCAGCACGUAAUACCAUGCUUGUUAAUAUACUCAGAUCAAGCGGGUACAUUCCCAAAUGAAGUAUGUAUAAUCAGAUGCUCUUACAUGCACUUUGUCUUCUUCCUCCACAUCAUAAGAGGAAAGGGCUUUUU
ensembl:lncRNA